UUAAGUUGAUGGGUCUGUAACUAUUUACCUUCUUCCUAGUGACCAUUGAAAUGGAUAUUUGUUGAAAAAGCUACUCUUCAUCAAAUUUAUCUAGAUUAUUCAUUGACAAGUCUAUUGACCACAGAACGAAGGCAGCAAAGCAGUGAACAUCCAGUGAAUGUUCCAAGAAGUGAUGGGGGAGAUCCGAGGUCAGCAAAGAACUUCUUCUCCCCACCAUGUGAAAGCCUGAGUCAAUAUACCUCUCAGGGGGGCGCCUUGGUGGCUCAGUCAACUGAGCACCCUACUCUUGAUCUCAGCUCAGAUCAUGAUCUCACAGUUUGUGAAACUGAGCCCCUUGUGGGUCUCUGUGUUGACAGGGAGGACCCUGCUUCGGAUCCUCUGUCUCCCUCUCUCUCUCUGCCCUUCCCCUUGCUCAAGAGUGUGGCAUCCCUCUUUCUCUCUCUCUCUCUCAAAAUAAAUAAAUAAACUAAAAAAAUAAUAAGAUACCAUUGAGAAAUUUUAAUGCCAAUUUCUGUAAAACCUCCAUUCUCUAAAGUAUGGACAUUAGUUAAUAAGUGUGUCGAUAUUCCUUCAUUAAUCAUAACAAAUGUACCAUAUUCAUGUAAGAUGUUAUCCAUAGGGGAAACUGGAUGAGAUAUAUGUGAGAACUCUGCACUGUCUCUGUAAUAUUUCUGCAAAUCUAAAACUGUUGUAAAAAAUAAAGUUUAUUUUUAUUUUUUUUUAAUUUUUUUU
rnacentral:lncRNA from 1 species